UACGGGGGGAGCAAGCGUUGUUCGGAUUUACUGGGCGUAAAGGGCGCGUAGGCGGCCACCGCAAGUCGGUUGUGAAAUCUCUGGGCUUAACCCAGAAAGGUCAACCGAUACUGCGGGGCUAGAGUGCAGGAAGGGGCAACUGGAAUUCUCGGUGUAGCGGUGGAAAUGCGCAGAUAUCGGGAGGAACACCGGUGGCGAAGGCGGUUCGUCUGGGCCUUACCUGGACGCUGGAGG
rnacentral:rRNA from 1 species